CGGCUCUGGGCAAUGUCUGUUUUGGCUCUGAGUCAUUGUGUCAACGCAGGCAACCGAUGCGGAUGCCACAAGCGGCACAAUUCACUCCGUUGUGGGGCAGCUGCUGGCACUGCUUUAGUCAGCGUCGAGAUUGCCACGUGCACGGACACGAUUCGAAAGAGAACGGUACGCCGAGCGCAUAACGGUACGCGCUUUCAUUUUGAAUUCGAGAUUGUCGCGUGUGCGAAACCAAAACAAAAGUGCAACACUAGCAAACCAUUACAAAAAUAUAAGGAAAGCAAAGGCAAAGCACAAAAAAACCACACAAAGAUUUUCAAAAUCUAUUUUUAAAUAUAUUUGUUUUUUUUUUUUUUUUUUUCGUUUUUGGAAUAUUGUUUGUUGAAUGUUUCCAAAUGUGACAACUGUAAAAGAGAAAAGUGCAAGUCACACAACGCGACUGGAAUUGAACUGAAGUAAUCACAAACAGUUAAAUAAUAACUGUAAAAAUUAACGAUAG